GGCGGAAUGCUUUACACAUGCAAGUCGAACGGCAGCACGAGAGCUUGCUCUUGGUGGCGAGUGGCGAACGGGUGAGUAAUAUAUCGGAACGUAUCCAAUAAUGGGGGAUAACUAAUCGAAAGGUUAGCUAAUACCGCAUACGCCCUACGGGGGAAAGCAGGGGAUCUUCGGACCUUGCGUUAAUGGAGCGGCUGAUAUCUGAUUAGCUAGUAGGUGAGGUAAAGGCUCACCUAGGCUUCGAUCAGUAGCUGGUCUGAGAGGACGACCAGCCACACUGGAACUGAGACACGGUCCAGACUCCUACGGGAGGCAGCAGUGGGGAAUUUUGGACAAUGGGCGCAAGCCUGAUCCAGCCAUUCCGCGUGAGUGAAGAAGGCCUUCGGGUUGUAAAGCUCUUUCGCAAGGGAAGAAACGAUACCGACGAAUAAUCGGUGUUAAUGACGGUACCUUGAUAAGAAGCACCGGCUAACUACGUG
rnacentral:rRNA from 1 species